UACAGAGGGUGCUAGCGUUGUUCGGAAUCAUUGGGCGUAAAGGGCGUGUAGGCGGUUUGUUAAGUCAUGUGUGAAAUCCCUCGGCUCAACCGGGGAACGACGCAUGAAACUGGCAAGCUAGAGUACCAAAGAGGGGGGUGGAAUUCCCGGUGUAGCGGUGAAAUGCGCAGAUAUCGGGAGGAACACCUAUGGCGAAGGCAGCUCGCUGGGACGUUACUGACGCUGAGACGCGAAAGCGUGGGGAGCAAACAGG
rnacentral:rRNA from 1 species